GCUCGAUGACACCCGUUGCUGCGUGGCAGGAGUAAUACCAACCACAGAGGUCAGAAAAUCCGGAGUCAGCCCCCCCUCCUCCGAAAGAAACACCCCAUUAGGUGAGAUUGGCGUGCAAGUCAUGAGGCUCUUUGAAACAAGUCUGGUGUGGUUUUCUGUCACCCCAUGCUUAAUAUGUGCCAGGGCUGAGCUCUGGCACUUCUAGACUUGGCAGUUUAUAGCCCUAGCAUCUGUGGGCUUGCUGCAUCAGUUAUUAAUGGGAAAAAAAGUGUUUUAGCCCUGGCACCUCUCAUUACAAAUUAAGCAUUGCUAGCAGCUGAUUUGCAGACUCCCUAUGCAAGCCCUCAGAAAGCUGUGCGCAGCAAUGAAAACCCUGACAAGAGGAACAGCUGUCUUGGAGAAGCAGUGAUAACCAACCGUAUAAAUAGCUUACUGAUGUGACGUUUUAAAAUUCUACUUCUAAAAUUGAUGCUGUCUUGUUAGUGAGCUGAAAGACCGAUGGAGAGACUAGUGAGGAACGGGUAAAUCAUAUAUCCAACUCCUGAUUUCUUGCCGCUGAUACAUGCUACCAGGAAGUCAUCGAAAUAACAAAACCAUUGGGGCCAAAUAGUCUAGAGAUACCGAGGACUUGUAUAUGCAGGAAGGCUUUUUUGGAGUAAUCUAAGGUGUGGACUUAAACUGAUAUAACCCUGUCGAGGCUAAUUCCUUAUUCUGGCACUUCAAGUGCAGAAGGUGGGGGCCCACAAGGAUUUUAAAAAUUAAUACUGGCCACUCCAGGCUUGUAUUAAACUCCCAAGAUUAUAGUUUUUCUCUGAUCUUGGAUUGGUAGGUGCUGCCACCACCCA